AGAGUUUGAUCCUGGCUCAGAGCGAACGCUGGCGGCAUGCUUAACACAUGCAAGUCGCACGGUCAGCAAUGGCAGUGGCGGACGGGUGAGUAACGCGUAGGUAUCUGUCCAUGGGUGGGGGAUAACGGCGGGAAACUGCUGCUAAUACCGCAUGACACCUGAGGGUCAAAGGCGCAAGUCGCCUGUGGAGGAGCCUGCGU
rnacentral:rRNA from 1 species